rnacentral:rRNA from 1 species
AGUCGAGGAUCAUUCGCAAUGAGCGAAAGCUUGACGAUGCGACACUGCGUGGACGAUGAAGGCCUUCGGGUUGUAAAGUCCUUUCGCGAUGGAACAAGGGAGGGGCGUGAAUAACGCUCCGACUUGAGGGUACAGCGUAAAGAAGCACCGGCUAACUCCGUGCCAGCAGCUGCGGUAAUACGGAGGGUGCAAGCGUUAAUCGGAAUUAUUGGGCGUAAAGGGCGCGUAGGCUGUUAGAAAAGUCUGGUGUGAAAUACCGUGGCUCAACCACGGUGCUGCAUCGGAAACUAUUUGACUAGAGGGUAGGCGGAGAAAACGGAAUUCCAAGUGUAGCGGUGAAAUGCGUAGAUAUUUGGAAGAACACCGGUGGCGAAAGCGGUUUUCUAGCUUAUUCCUGACGCUGAGGCGCGAGAGCAAGGGGAGCAAACAGGAUUAGAUACCCUGGUAGUCCUUGCCGUAAACGAUGUAUACUUGAUGUAGCUGGGCUCAACCCUGGCUGUGUCGUAGCUAACGCGAUAAGUAUACCGCCUGGGGAGUACGCUCGCAAGGGUGAAACUCAAAAGAAUUGACGGGGGCCCGCACAAGCAGUGGAGCGUGUGGUUUAAUUCGAUGCAACGCGAAGAACCUUACCCAGGUUUGAAAUACAGAGGAAUUAAGCUGAAAAGUUUAAGCCCGCAAGGGUCUUUGUACAGGUGCUGCAUGGCUGUCGUCAGCUCGUGCCGUGAGGUGUUGGGUUAAGUCCCGCAACGAGCGCAACCCUUAUCAUUAGUUGCCAACACGCGAGGUGGGGAAUCUAAUGAGACUGCCUAGGUUAACUAGGAGGAAGGUGAGGAUGACGUCAAGUCCGCAUGGCCUUUAUACCUGGGGCUACACACGUGCUACAAUGGUCGGUACAGAAGGGAGCAAGACCGCAAGGUGGAGCAAAUCCUAAAAGCCGACCCCAGUUCAGAUUGUAGUCUGCAACUCGACUACAUGAAGCCGGAAUUGCUAGUAAUGACAGGUCAGCAACACUGUCGUGAAUACGUUCCCGGGCC